GUGACCAUAGCCAAAGUGGGAUUCACAUCUGGGAUACCGGUGCACUCCUGCCAGGUGAAUGACAGUUGGCUUCAAGUGUCUCAUCAAGGAGUCAGUUUCCAAGGUUCUGACCUUCGCUCUGAGUUGAUGGAUGAUCCAGACAUGUGUCAGAGGACUUGUACUAUGGAUCCUCUUUGCCAGUUCUACACCUACUUCAAUGAAUCCUACUCCAACCCUGAUCUCAGGCGCCGCUGUUAUCUCAAGCGUGUCAUCACAGCACCUGCUCCUUCCAAAGUUCAUAAAAAGAAUAAUAUCGUUUCCGGAUUCUCCCUGAAGAACUGUGUGUAGACACACACAACUACACACACACACACACACACAC